UCAGGCUGAUCUUGAUGAUGCCGGUCAGCACCGACACCUGUGGACGGGGACACGGGGAUGCAGAGCCGCUACAGCAGGUGCUGGGCGGGUGCGGGAUCCCUGAGGGCACCGCGUUCUGUGCAGGGGCCAGGGAGCCAGCAAAAUGCCAGUAGCUGUGAUGGGGUAGAAAGUCCCAAAACCCAGGAUCCAGUCCAGGAUUCCAUCUUGCCUAAGCCUGACUAUUUGGGAAAGGUAUAUUGCUUUGC